rnacentral:rRNA from 1 species
GAACGCUGGCGGCGUGCUUAACACAUGCAAGUCGAACGGUGAAGCGCCUUCCUUUUUGGUGGGUGUGGAUGAGUGGCGAACGGGUGAGUAACACGUGAGUAACCUGCCCCCUUCUUCUGGAUAACCGCAUGAAAGUGUGGCUAAUACGGGAUAUUCUGGGUCUGUCGCAUGAUGGGUCUGGGAAAGAUAUUGUUUCGGUGGGGGAUGGGCUCGCGGCCUAUCAGCUUGUUGGUGGGGUGAUGGCCUACCAAGGCGGUGACGGGUAGCCGGCCUGAGAGGGGGGACGGUCACACUGGGACUGAGACACGGCCCAGACUCCUACGGGAGGCAGCAGUGGGGAAUAUUGCACAAUGGGCGCAAGCCUGAUGCAGCGACGCCGCGUGAGGGAUGGAGGCCUUCGGGUUGUGAACCUCUUUCGCCAGUGAAGCAGGCCUGCCUCGUUUGUGGGUGGGUUGACGGUAGCUGGAUAAGAAGCGCCGGCUAACUACGUG